rnacentral:rRNA from 1 species
CCCUUAGAUGUUCUGGGCCGCACGCGCGCUACACUGAACAGUUCAACAAGUCUUAACCUUGGCCGAUAGGUCUGGGUAAUCUUUGAACGCUGUUCGUGAUUGGGAUAGACCUUUGCAAUUAUGGGUCUUCAACGAGGAAUUCCUAGUAAACGCAAGUCAUCAGCUUGCAUUGAUUACGUCCCUGCCCUUUGUACACACCGCCCGUCGCACCUACCGAUUGAAUGGUCCGGUGAAAUCUCGGGACGGCGGCUUGGUCGCUUGCGUCCGACUGCUGAAACUUGAUUAAACCAUAUCAUUUAGAGGAAGGUGANGUCGUAACA